UGGGGAAUUUUGGACAAUGGGCGCAAGCCUGAUCCAGCCAUGCCGCGUGCGGGAAGAAGGCCUUCGGGUGUAAACCGCUUUUGUCAGGGAAGAAAUCUUCUGAGUUAAUACCUCGGGAGGAUGACGGUACCUGAAGAAUAAGCACCGGCUAACUACGUGCCAGCAGCCGCGGUAAUACGUAGGGUGCAAGCGUUAAUCGGAAUUACUGGGCGUAAAGCGUGCGCAGGCGGUUUUGUAAGACAGAGGUGAAAUCCCCGGGCUCAACCUGGGAACUGCCUUUGUGACUGCAAGGCUUGAGUGCGGCAGAGGGGGGAUGGAAUUCCGCGUGUAGCAGUGAAAUGCGUAGAUAUGCGGAGGAACACCGAUGGCGAAGGCAAUCCCCUGGGCCUGCACUGACGCUCAUGCACGAAAGCGUGGGGAGCAAACAGGAUUAGAUACCCUGGUAGUCCACGCCCUAAACGAUGUCAACUGGUUGUUGGGAAGGUUCCUUCUCAGUAACGUAGCUAACGCGUGAAGUUGACCGCCUGGGGAGUACGGCCGCAAGGUUGAAACUAAAGGAAUUGAC
rnacentral:rRNA from 1 species